UUUCGAUCAUUUUUUAUAGUUUCAACAUGUCUUAAGUUAUUAACCACUUUUUGGGAGGUUUUAACAAAGUUUAGACAUUAUAUUUCCAGCUUGAAACUACCUCUUCUACACAGUUUUUGCGGAGUGCGUUCUGCAGUGCUUCCACUUUCAAAGGUUGAAACUUAGCUGACCCGAAACUGGGCCACGAAGCCGAACUUUACGUAAUUUGUGGGACCAGAAUAUAUCUCUGAAUAAUUAAAUGCUUAAACUUUCAUUUCAUAUUUAUAUAUUUUCGGCAAUAAUCUAUCGUUAGGACAAAAAUCGGGCAGUUACAUGGCGAAUUACAUCUCAAUAAUACGAUUUAUUGUUAUUAGUUAGUUUUACUGCGCAGUGAAAUGAACAAAUUUUAGUAAUUGAAUAUAAACAUACCCGGACAAAAGGGAUUCUUCUUUGAAUACAGUUCAACUAAAAAGCCUGCGAAAACUAUCAUCCAAAAAAGGAAAGGUUUGCCAUUAUAUCUGUAUAAUUCGUUUGGCGUCGCUAUUUAUCUCGACGGAAAAAAAUGAGAUCAAGUUUUUAUUGACCCGCAACUGGUAC
rnacentral:lncRNA from 1 species